AGCUUGCAGUAGUGUACAAAUGGACUCGGGGCGCGCAACCGCGCUGAACCAGUUGGUUCGAGCCUCAGCGUGAAGGACAGACGGAUGUUUGGUAUCUCAGCUUCUUCGAUGAGUUACGGACAAGGGAAGAGGCUGUGCGCUAUUCACCCAUCGGGACAUGCCUUCUCCUGUCCGGGGGGACAUGACAGACAGGAUAGGACAACAGGAGGACGGCGCAGCGGAUAGUUACUGCUGGGAGGGAAGACUGAGCGAACGUGCCGUGUGCGCUCUGGAGAUGGAGAUAACAAACCGCAGCCCGAGCUCCAAAGUGACCUGCGCAAACUGUGAUGGUGCCAUUCAUCUUAACUGUUCGGACUCGACAGAAGUCUCAAUGUCCCUAACCGGGAGGAGAGCGACACACAUGGAAGGACACAAUCUUUACAGACUGCGAGACAGAAAACUUUUGAUUGAAGACAAAAAGCGUCUUUGCGCGCUCGCUUUAGGCGCAGCUCUGCUGGGGAUCCUGCUCAUGAUCAUCCACGCCGAAAUAUGCCCACAUGUGUACAAGCCGGGUUCAAAAGUCUCCAUGAUUAUCAACUGUUUCAUAAGCCUGUCCACUGGGUGUCUCCUGGUCCUCAUCAUAGCUUUCCAUUAUAAGGACAUUAGGCUGUUCAUCUUUGACCACAACCAGGUGGAUUGGCGAAUCGCCAUGACCAGCCACAGGGUUAUUGUGAUCAUUCUGGAGCUGCUGGUCUGUGGCAUCCAUCCAGUAGGAUCUUACUGGGAGGUGGGCCUCCAUGUCAACUCCUCCUCUGCCGCUCCAUCCUGCAUUUCCAGCCACCACAACAAGGCCCUGCAGGACAUGGAGCUGCUAUUAUCAAUGCUGAUGUUUCUUCGCCUGUACUUGGUGCACAGAGCCAUACUGCUGCACAGCAAGGAGCUGCUGAGCGCCUCCUACAGGAGCAUAGGCUCGCUCAACAAUAUCAACUUCACAUUUCGCUUCGUUCUCAAGGUGCUGAUGAACAAACAUCCCACACGAACGCUGCUAGUCUUCAUCCUCCUCUUCUGGCUCACUGUGUCCUGGAUGCUUACUCUGUGUGAGAGGCGAAUCCACGAACCAGCGGGAGCGGGGCAAAUGGACACGGCCCUGUGGCUCAUAGCCAUUACAUUCCUCACGGUGGGCUAUGGGGAUGUGGCACCCAAGACCAGCUGUGGGAAGGGAGUGUGUCUCUUCACUGGUGUCAUGGGUGUAGCCUGCACUGCCAUGCUGGUGGCCACAGUGACGGAAAAGCUGGCGUUGAACAAAGGAGAGAAGCAUGUGCACUUCUUCAUGAUGGACAUCCAGAUCUCCAAAAGGAUCCGACAUGCUGCUGCUAACGUUCUACGAGAAUGCUGGCUUCUGCACCGGACCAGCUUGACCAGGGCUAGCCACGGCCAACACCGGAGACACCAGAGAUGCCUUCUGGAAGCCAUUAGAGUGUUCCGACAUUUACGGCUCCAACAAAGAAAACUAAGAGAUUAUGUCAGUGAGAUGGUGGAUCUGCCAAAGGUGAGUGAGAUUUGCCACUGAAACAUUCUGACAAUGUAGAAACAAAGAGACAGAAAACACAUCUGUUGUGUUGUUUAUCUGUGGGUUUCAGGAGCUUAUAAAGCCCAAAUUGAGAGCCACUAAUGUGCAAUUUAUACGCUGUAAUUCAUUUGUAUGGAAGGUAACAAAGAUUUUCCAGAUUGGUAAAUUAUACCACAGUGUUUUUAUUAUCAGUUACAAAAUAAAAAGCCUUUUAUGAAACUAAAUCAGGAAUAAGCUGAAGUAGUAGAGAACUGAGACACCGAGUCUCAAUGUCUUCUUCACUAAAUUUAAUCUUAAAUAAAACUGUUGUACGGCCUGCAGGCAGAACCCACCCAAACCCUUGCAGCCUUCUAAUGACACGCCCUCAUUGGCUGAGCAGCUGCUACAUGGCCCUCACUCUCCCCCUCCGUCCCUGGUCAGAGCUGCAUGUGACAAAUUCAUUUAAGAAUUUUAUUUUAUGUUUUUAAAUGGAGGCUUUUCUGUUGGUUUUAUCUCUAUAGCGACCAUAUUAUUUUUUUCGUCGCCCGUGAGUGACAAACAGGUGUAUGAAAAUUUUAUAAGAAUCAGUAAAAGUAAACUUUUGGAAAACAUUGGCAAGUUAGGUUUUUUUUUUUUUUUUGUCAACCACGGCAGCAUUCUAAUAUGUUCGUAUUGUUUGUCAUAUCUUUUCGUUCAGCUUGAGCCAAGGAUUCCUCUAUUAAAUUUUCAUAAUAUUGUGGUAAAAAUGUGCGUGCAACAGGAGAGCGCAAUUUCUGCAAGCUCACCAAUGUUCAAAAUCUACAAACUUUAUUUCCAACAACUUUUGAACGAAUUCAAGAUGAAAGGUCAACAUAACUUUGGUUAUGGUUGUAGACUUAAGCGGCGGUGUCGGUGUGAAUUUUUGUGAAAAUUACUCAAACAUCACUCAAAUUUUCCUUUAUUGUGGGAAAAUGUAAAAAUUAACAAAUCUUACACUUUGCCGCCAAGCCUUGUGGCCAUCCCAUAAUAAUUUCAAAACUACCUUUGGAUAUUGCCGACAUGUGUGUUUUGGUUUUAUAAGUGGAUUUUGAUUUUUUUUCUUUUCUUUUAGCCCCGUAAGAGAUUUUGGCCCCAUUGAUUUUUUUGUACUGUUUGUCCUGCUGUGAAGCCUUCAGUUUCACUGGAUACUAAGUGCGUGCAAAUCUUGGUGAGUUUUUGAGUAUGUGGCGGGGGUGAAAUGUUUGCUCAAAGGCGCAGUAAGGAAGAAGAAUUGCAAAAACAAAACCAUCCUUGCAGUCCAGGACUGCUGCGGGACAUAAUUAAAAGAUGCAGAUGAUCAUGUGUGACCUCAGUGCCAACUGGAAUAACUCUUAUCGGGAGCUGGAGCAGAGGAUCCUCUCCAUGGAGCAAAAGCUAGACGAGCUAACUCGCUGUUUUCAGCAA